AUUGAACGCUGGCGGCAUGCUUUACACAUGCAAGUCGAACGGUAACAGGCCGCAAGGUGCUGACGAGUGGCGAACGGGUGAGUAAUGCAUCGGAACGUGCCCAGUCGUGGGGGAUAACGCAGCGAAAGCUGCGCUAAUACCGCAUACGAUCUAUGGAUGAAAGCGGGGGACCGAAAGGCCUCGCGCGAUUGGAACGGCCGAUGUCAGAUUAGGUAGUUGGUGGGGUAAAGGCUCACCAAGCCAACGAUCUGUAGCUGGUCUGAGAGGACGACCAGCCACACUGGGACUGAGACACGGCCCAGACUCCUACGGGAGGCAGCAGUGGGGAAUUUUGGACAAUGGGCGCAAGCCUGAUCCAGCAAUGCCGCGUGCAGGAAGAAGGCCUCCGGGUUGUAAACUGCUUUUGUACGGAACGAAACGGUCCUGGUUAAUACCUGGGGCUAAUGACGGUACCGUAAGAAUAAGCACCGGCUAACUACGUGCCAGCAGCCGCAGUAAGAC
rnacentral:rRNA from 1 species